UCCGUAGGCGGUGUAGCAAGUCGAUAGUGAAAUCUCUGGGCUUAACCCAGAGGCUGCUAACGAAACUGCUGUGCUAGAGUGUGAGAGAGGCGAGUGGAAUUACGGGUGUAGCGGUGAAAUGCGUAGAUAUCCGUAGGAACAUCCGAGGCGAAGGCGGCUCGCUGGAUCACAACUGACGCUGAGGGACGAAAGCUAGGGGAGCAAACAGGAUUAGAUACCCUGGUAGUCCUAGCCCUAAACCAUCAGGACUUGGGGUUUGCCCUGUACGGGGCAAGUCCCGUAGCUAACGCGUUAAGUCCUGCGCCUGGGGAGUACGGUCGCAAGGCUGAA
rnacentral:rRNA from 1 species